rnacentral:rRNA from 1 species
GAUGAACGCUAGCGGGAGGCUUAAUACAUGCAAGUCGAACGGCAGCAUUUCGGAUGGCAAGUGGCGAACGGGUGAGUAACGCGUACAGAUCUGCCUUAUACUAGAGAAUAGCCCUGGGAAACUGGGAGUAAUACUCUAUGUGAUCGAGAGAUUAAAGCUACGGCGGUAUAAGAUGACUGUGCGUCUGAUUAGCUAGUUGGUGAGGUAGAGGCUCACCAAGGCGACGAUCAGUAGGGGGCGUGAGAGCGUGAUCCCCCACACGGGUACUGAGACACGGACCCGACUCCUACGGGAGGCAGCAGUAAGGAUAUGGGCAAUGGAGGCAACUCUGACCCAGCCAUCCCGCGUGCAGGAUGAAGGCGCUACGCGUUGUAAACUGCUUUUAUUGGGACAAAUUUUAGUAUUUAUACUGAACUGACGUACUAUGAAUAGCACGGCUAACUCCGUGCCAGCAGCCGCGGUAA